rnacentral:lncRNA from 1 species
UUUAAUCUUUGCAAUUUUAUUUAUAUAAAAAAAUAAUACAUAAAACAAAUACAAACACACACAUACACUUUCACUAUAUCUUUUCUUUUCUUUUUUUCUUUUCCCUUUUUCUUUUCUUUUCUUUUUUCUUUUACAUCCACAUUACAAAUUAUAAAAAUUCAACAACUAAACAAACAUUACAUCAAACACUAUAGAAAUUACAAAACAGACCCCCACAGAUCCUUUACAGUGCAGGGAAGCCUUUUGGACCCGUAUGAACAGUGGUGGCGCGUCUUCCCACGCGCCACCGUCACUGGCGGCGCGUGGGUUCACGCGCCGCCGCACAAAACUUGGAAGCCGGGUGGAUCUGGCUCAGUUUCAUCUCCUCUUCCCUUCUCUGCUGGUGGUGACAACGCCGUUACCUGCAAAACACCCAAAACGCAACAAGCAAGUCUGUUUCUCUCCUUAGAUCUGUUUCUUCCUCUUUCGGAUCUGCUUCUCUCUUUCUUCAGAUGGCAGAUCCGUUGUGAGGGGGGGAGGCCACUGUGUUAGGCCGCGAUGGUGUGCAGGCGCUGCUGGAGGAAGGAGGCGGACCGAUUUGGGUUCUGUGGGCGCAGCUGUACCGGGUUUGUUCGUUGACCCGGAGAGGGAGGCCGUUGGGUCGGCUGAGAGAGGAGAGGAGCCUGGUGAGGGGGCGGCCGGCUUGAUCUCGGCGAGCUGGGGCUGUUGAAGCUGUGGUGAAGAUCUGUUUGAGGAGAGGGUCUUGGCUGGGCGUCUGCUGUGAGCGGCUGGAGGAGCAGAGGAGGAAGUGGCCUUGUGGGGGGAGCUGUGAGGGUGGUCUCUUGUGGGUGCUCCGGUUUGUUGCAAUGGGAGGGGGGAUGCGUUGUUGGCUGGAAAAGGAGAAGAAGAUGGGGAAAACGGUGUGGAGAGAGCUGCUGUUUGGGGGGGCUGUGGCCGAAAGAGGUUGAUGUGGGUGUGGUCGGCAAAGGGAGAAGGGGAGCUCUGGUUUCCUUACCAAGGGAAGGGAGGCGGCUUCAAGAAGAUGAGAGGACAGGGAGGGGGCUGCCCCCGGUUUGGUUUUGAAAGAGAGGGAGCUAUCCCUUGUUCCCGGCUGCCGAGGUGAAGAAGAAAAUCAAAGGGGAGGGGCGGCCAGCCUCUGUAAACAGGGAAAGGGAGGCUUGCGGCCGCCCCUGCUCCCUCUGGUUUUUUCUCAAUGGGAAUGGGGGGCGCCGCUCCUUGCCAAAAAAAACAGGUUUAGGGUUAGGGUUUUCUUUUUUGUAUUUUUCUGAUGUUUCCAAAAUUGACCCCCCCUUGAAAAAAAUGUAUAGCAUGGUAUUUAUAGGAAAAGUUUUGCUAGGUUUUCAAACUAGUCCCUCAACUUUUCCUUUCCUUCUCUUUUCCUUUUUUUUUGUAAAUUUUGAUUUUUCUUAUUUUUUGUAUUUUUGAAAGCGAGCAAAUAUCAACAUCGACUCAAUGCGGAAAAUCAAUGAUUUUAAAAAUAACGCGUUAAAAGUUGAACGCGUUCCAAAUGUCUUUGAAAAUUUAAAUUCUUUUGAGACGAUGCUAAAAAUGCUAAAAACGAUGCAAAUGUAUAAAAAAUGUAUUUUUUGGAUUUUCAAUGUUUUUUCGCUAGUUUUGGAUUUUUCAAUUUUUAUCAAAACAUGGGUCAAAAAUUGGGUAGCAACAGAUGCCCCCUCUUUACAAUGCUUACGAAGCAAAACUCCUCAAUGUUUCGCAUAGUAAGCUUUGUAAAGAAAAACUCUAAAUGUUCCCUUUUUUUUGUGUGUGAGAUCCCAUCGGGCGAUCUCCUUGAACCAAAACCAAAAUCUGCGUGGUUGGGCUAACCUGAGAUCUCGUCCGACGAUCCCCUUUAACCAGAACCAAUAUCCUGUGUGGUUGGGCUAACCUGAGAUCCCGUCCGGCGAUCCCCUUUAACCAGAACCAACAUGAGAUCCCAUCUGGCGACCUCAUUAAACCAAAACUAAAAAAAUGUGUGUAACUCAGUCAACCUGAAAUCCCAUCUGGCGAUUCCCUUUAACCAAAGCUACAUGAGAUCCCAUCUGGCGACCUCACUAAAUGGAACUAAAAAAAUGUGUGUAACUCGGUCAACCUGAAAUCCCAUCUGGCGAUUCCCUUUAACCAAAGCUACAUGAGAUCCCAUCUGGCGACCUCACUAAAUGGAACUAAAAAAUGUGGUAGCUCGGUCAACCUGAAAUCCCAUCUGGCGAUUCCCUUUAACCAAAGCUACAUGAGAUCCCAUCUGGCGACCUCAUUAAACCAAAACAAAGAAUGUGGAACCAAUGGUCUCAUUAUAAUGGGUGACGAACCCAAGAAAAAUGAUGGUCUCAUUGUACGGGUGACGAACCCAAGAAAAAAUGAUAGUCUCAUUGUACGGGUGACGAACCCAGGAAAAAUGAUGGUCUCAUUGUAUGGGUGACGAACCCCAGAAAAAUGAUGGUCUCAUUGUAUGGGUGACGAACCCAAGAAAAAUGAUGGUCUCAUUGUAUGGGUGACGAACCCAAGAAAAAUGAUGGUCUCAUUGUAUGGGUGACGAACCCAAGAAAAAAAUGAUGGUCUCAUUGUAUGGGUGACGAACCCAAGAAAAAUGAUGGAAAACGGUCUCAUUAUGAUGGGUGACCUACCCAAACGGAAAGAAUGUGAAGUGCGGUCUCAUUAUAAUGGGUGACCUACCCAGGUGGAAGAUAGAAAAAAUGUGAAGUGGUCGCGUUAUAAUGGGUGACCUACCCAGGUGGAAGAUAGAAAAAAUGUGAAGAUAGAAAAAAUGUGAAGUGGUCGCGUUAUAAUGGGUGACCUACCCAGAUGGAAGAUAGAAAAAUGUGAAGUGGUCUCAUUAUUAUGGGUGACCUACCCAUGUGGAGGAUAGAAAAAAUGUGAAAUGGUCUCAUUGUUAUGGGUGACCUACCCAACUGAAAGAUGUGAUGUGACAAGUGUGAAAAAUGGGACUUACCUGGCGAAGUCCUGAAGGGAUGGUAGAAGAAGGGCCGGAAAACUUGGUGCUUCUUGAUAAUUCUUGAUCGCAGGGUUUGAAAACUCGAUGCUUCCUGAUUGUAAGGUUGAUCUUUUCAUUUCUUUGAGAUUUUCCUAACAAUAAGGUUUAUCUCAUCUUCUUCCCGUUUCAAGGUCACAACAUGAUUCUCUGUCAUUAUCAGCUCAAUGAUUCUCCUUUUUUGGUCCCCAAUCUUGCUGAACUACAUUGAGGAUUUUUCUUGCAACAAAACAAAAUAAAAAAUAUGUGUAAUGUUUUAACGUUAGAUGACAUGCAUGCAUCCUUACCUGAUGUGAAAUAUAGGUCCCCCCCUUCGAUGAUCCAUCAUCAUAGGGUGCCUUUGUUUGCUAACCAAAGCCUUCUUUGCUCUUCCCAUAUACUGACUCAUUCGUGUGUUAGCCUUCCACUCAAAUGUAAGUGUAGUGCCCAUCUCGGGCUGUCCACAACAAUUACUGCUCUCGCUGUUUAUCAAGCUUGACUCUGCCCCCAAGUGUGGUGUUGCUUGAUUCAUCGUGAAGGAUUUUCUCUCCUGGAUUCUUCUGAGAAUUAUCCUCUGAUUGGUUGUGUGCAUCAUGCCAACCCAUCAAGAUUGUUAAUCAGUCAUGAACUUGCCUCUAGUUGAAACAAUACUUUUCAAGUAUAUGUUAUUACCAGCCUUUUUGGAACUGUCAGGUUAUCCAGACAUGGAUCUCAUACCUUGCAGUGAAAGACUCAUCGUUGUAUGCUCAAUGUUCUUUCUCAUGGAUUCCUCUCAGCUUGUCAAAUCAGAUAGUGGAAAGAAAUGCAGUGGCAUCAUCAAUGAUGUUCAUUUUAUCACCCAUAUUCAUGCGAUGAAGUGCGCCUUCGAGCUUCAAAACAAGAUGGUCCCACAGUCAGUCUUGGUGAGUGCAUCCUUCCAAUAUUCAUUCCAAUACAACUAUGCGAUAACAUCGUUCAAAAGUCAUAGCCAUGUUGGAGAUGAUAAUAUGACGUUAUCCUUCAAGUACAACAUUGUUCCGCAAUCAAUCUUGGUGGUGUGCACAUCUUUUCAAUAUUCAUUCAAAUACAACUGUAUUCCCACAUCGGUCGAUAGCCAUGUUUCAAAAGAUGAUGAUAUGAAGAUUUCCUUCAAGUGUAUCUUUGCUUUCCCGAUUGUUGACGGGGUUCACUAGAUCAUGGACUAUCUUUGAACAACAUUGCCCCCAAUAUGAUCUGAAUGUGCUUGUUCAUUGAUUAUCUUUCUUUGAACACCAUUGUCUUCAGUACACUGAUUCAUCAUUUAAUCAUCUUUCAUUGCCCCCAGCUGAUCUGAAUACUGUUUGUUUUCCUACCCAUGAUCCACUGUAUUGCCUCCAGGUGGUCAACUUUUCAAGGAGUGUCGAGAAAUGUUGAUGUCGUUCUUGUCAAGGAUUUUGCAAAUUCAAUCGAUGUUCUUCUUUGUUCGACAAUCUUUCUUGUUCUGGAAUCAAAUCUCAUAUUUCAAAGGUCAUGUCUAUUCAAGUCUAAUUGUUGAAAUAAAAUCAAAGAGAUGUCUGUUUUUGAAAGUAUUUUUUUUUAAAUUCAAGCUUCUUUGGUCAAAGACCCAACACACUAUUCAAUGCAAUCCUUUGAUUAUCUUGUAUUUUGAAAACAGAAAUGACCCGUUGUAAGACUAAAAUGGUUUUUUUUUUUCAUGGUUCUUUGUAUCCAUUUUAGACUCUGAUUUCGGGUAUAUCUUUUGAUGGUCUAUGAUGAGGUGACCUUCUGUGAAUUUCAAGAAACAAAAGACUCAAGUCAAAACUUGAGGAUUCAUCAAGAAAGAUUGUUGUUUUUUUUUUUUUUUUUAACACCAAUUUUAUCAACAUGCAUAUUAACCAGUAACUUAAUCCAUGAAGCCACGACUCUUAUGGAAAAAACUCUUCAAGUUUUGAGAUCGCCAUUUAUCGGUUCAAAUUGCUUACUUGAUCAAAAAGGGCUUUUAAAAGCACGUAAUGCAGGCUAUGGUUCAUGGCUAUGAAAGAAAGGAAUUUCAAAAGCUCAAAAGGUGUUUGAGGGUUUCAAAGCCCUAGGAUCAAUAUCAACUAUUCAUCAACUUUUUUCUUAUUGUCAUUGUAGAGAAAGUGACAUAUAACCUUGUUAAUAUCAAAUUCAGAAUUCUCUUAACAUAGGUCAUAAUGCUAAUCCAACUUUUUCUCUGAUGAAUAAUGAAUCUAAAAAUUUUGAAGACACUAAAGGCUUUAUCCUAGACACACCAAAAGACAUGAAACUUGAUUUUUUUUUUUGGUGUUGACUUUUGGCAUUUGUUGUGUCUUUCUUCCAUUGAAACCUCUUUUGCCCCUCUUAGAAUUGAUAGGCAUUCUCCUUCAUUUCCACUUUUUUUUACUUUUACAUAGCCUUUCUCAAAGUUUUCUUGGAUGCCCUUCACUCUAUGACUUUUUGUUCUAGCCCUUUCUCAAUCAUUGGGCUUUUAUUCUAAGCCUGUCUUUUAUCCAUUAAUCCUAUCACUGUCUUCAAAAUAUCUCUCAUUUGCCCCCAGUGUGGGGUGUGAUCCUAGUCAGGGUUUUUUAUGAAAGGAAUAUUCUAUCCAGCUCAAAAUGGGACUCAAGGGAUAUAAUCUUUAGAAAGUGAAGGGAUAUCAAAGAUGGCCUUUUCUCAUUUCAAGCAAUGGUCGGUUAGAACCGAUAAAUUUUGACCUCGUCCAGUGUAAUGAUUUGGACUUGUAAGAAUCAUGAUUCACGAGUCCAUAACAACUGAAUCCACUACAUGUCAUUAUGCAUACUGCUAAAACUUAGUUAUAUGAUGUGUGGUUCAGUUUCAGGAGGUAUAAGUUCAAAAUUGUUUCGUCACCUCAUGUCAUUUUCAAGCAUCGAGUUAUUUCUGCAAUCAAAAUACUUUUAAUCUUCAGGAUUGAUUAAUCUUAAUCGCAUGUUGGAGCUUGAUCAAAAUAUUUUGUAAAAAUACCCUUUGAAAGAAGCAUCUCUUGAUUUCAAAACAACAGGAAGACAAAGGAAAGACAUGUUUCGUUCAAGGAUGAGAUGUGACCCCAAACAAAAUGCAAGAUGGCAAAAAUUCCAUAACAACAUGAUUGACAGUUCAACGCCCUUCUUGGAUCAGCCUCUUUGGCAAUAUCUCUGUUUUGCCAAGCAAUUCCGAUCACUCGUCAUUCUGAGGAUGUUCUGGCGACAAAAUGAUCGAUGACAAGCUCCUUCACAGAUUGAGCUCGAUUCUUGAAACUCUUGCAUUUGUUGAACUGAAAUGGUCGAGGACCCCACCAUGACAUCCCAUCUCUUGUUUGGAUUAUACCACCUAGAAAAUGGUGGUUGCAUGGGAUCUGUCAGAGUCAGGCAAAAGUCUGGAAUCUGGCAGAUGCUGGUAAAUAAACCCACAUGGCAAAGGAAUGUCUAUCUUUGGCAAAGACAUUGGAGUAGUUGGUGCUUUGAGCGAGACUUGACUAGGCAAAAUAACUGAGGUUUCUCAAUCGAGAGUCAUCUUCUGAUUCAACUCUCUUCACAAUUCUGGAAUCCAUGACAAAACCUUCAAUCCUUCACAUCUUCACAGCUAGCUUAAUUCUUUCGAUGAUCUUCACAACAUCAUGUCAUUCUUCCAAUGUUGUUGUGGUCGUUUGUGGAUUGUUGGAAACCUUCCAACAGCUAGGUAAUCUUGCGAGCGCAUAGAAUCAUGCAGCGCUAUCAAUGUCAAUGUGUUAAAUGAUGCAUUGUUUUUUUUUUUUUUUUUUGGGUUUUUUUUCUCUUUUUUUUUUUUAACAUCUUGUGCCGCUGAACUGGAAUUGAGCUAACAGUUGGGGUAACGUCAAAGAAGGCUAACACACCAUGCACAGAAGGCUAGCAAUUAUUUGGUGCCAUUGAAAGAUGUGGAGGCGAUGAAUAAUUAACAAUGCAACUGAACAAGAACAGAGGUUGUCAUUAGUUGAUGACUGAAGGCAUUGCUGCGAUUAUUCAUGACUGAAAAAGAAGAGGUGCAACUUCCAUCGGACAUGGACAAACAGUGUUCCCACAGAAAAUCGUGCAAACAUUCUCUUUCCAUUUGAUGCUCAACACUUGUUCAGGGAGAUCUGAGUCUAGCUACUUCACCUUUGAUGCUCUUAACUUCCCUUUGAUAACGAGCCUCUCUGACCCCUUUCUUUAUUAUCCAUCUUUUCAUUCCAAUGUAGUAAACCUUGGAUAGGGGAACCUAUUUUCAACUUGGUACAUGCAUGAUAAAUGUAUGAACAUGUAAACUAUAUGAAGAACUCGCCCUUCGAGGGGUGACAAUAUGGUCGUAACUCUCGUAUGAUGAAACAAAAAUCUUGAUUCUUGCCCAAACUCUACAAUGAAAAUUUUCUGAGUGACGGCCAUUGGGUCACCCACAAGUCUUGAGUUCAAGAUGCUUCAAGAAGGGUUUGCCCUGAUGCAAAUAAAAAUAGCACAUACAACCUAAGGACAGGUUCUAUUCACUAUGUGAACAUGGGUAGGUUCUCUACCUGGUCUCAAAAGGGUCUCAUAUCUGCCCAGUGACGUUCUUCGUAAAGACAGUAUGGGGGCGUUGCAAGGAAUAGUUAAGGUACGUCUACCCACCAUUACCAAGCAGGCACUCAGAUAUGAGUUCGGCUUUUCACGCAUCUGAACCCUGACCAAUAGUCAUAGGGCAGAUCGCUAAUUCACCACCUAACUUAGAAGCUUGUGUGUGCUUUAAAAAAUAAAUACAGGUGAUGCAUGCAACAAUUCUAAAAAUACAUGGAUAAAACAAAAAUAAAACAAUACAAAAAUGCAAAAACUUAAACACAUCAAAUACACAAAGCUUAGUCCAAUAUUGUCAGAAACAGUACCUUCCCCAGUGGAGUCGCCAUUCUGUCGCACGUCAGAAAAGCCGCGCGGCAUCGGCUGGCGAUUUUCUCGUUGUUGUUUGAUUUGCUUGAAUUGGUUCGUUGGAGUCGCCACCUAGUAUUUAAUUAAAGGUUACUAGGAAACCUGGAUAUACUGGUCUUGUUAGAGAUUCGCGGGUAAGGGACUGGUUGUGGUUAAGGAAGGUAUUCGCACCCCUAACACACCCUACCUGAGGUAAGCUGCUUCGUGACUUUGAUGUGUUAAAGAAGUUUUAAUAAUUGUCUUUUCAUCGGAUAUUAGAAAUACAACUUACAUGUAAGUUAAUAAAUCUUGACCGUGAUCCAAUCAAAAUAUUAAAUUCUUCUUUAAUCUUUGCAAUUUUAUUUAUAUAAAAAAAUAAUACAUAAAACAAAUACAAACACACACAUACACUUUCACUAUAUCUUUUCUUUUCUUUUUUUCUUUUCCCUUUUUCUUUUCUUUUCUUUUUUCUUUUACAUCCACAUUACAAAUUAUAAAAAUUCAACAACUAAACAAACAUUACAUCAAACACUAUAGAAAUUACAAAACAGACCCCCACAGAUCCUUUACAGUGCAGGGAAGCCUUUUGGACCCGUAUGAACAGUGGUGGCGCGUCUUCCCACGCGCCACCGUCACUGGCGGCGCGUGGGUUCACGCGCCGCCGCACAAAACUUGGAAGCCGGGUGGAUCUGGCUCAGUUUCAUCUCCUCUUCCCUUCUCUGCUGGUGGUGACAACGCCGUUACCUGCAAAACACCCAAAACGCAACAAGCAAGUCUGUUUCUCUCCUUAGAUCUGUUUCUUCCUCUUUCGGAUCUGCUUCUCUCUUUCUUCAGAUGGCAGAUCCGUUGUGAGGGGGGGAGGCCACUGUGUUAGGCCGCGAUGGUGUGCAGGCGCUGCUGGAGGAAGGAGGCGGACCGAUUUGGGUUCUGUGGGCGCAGCUGUACCGGGUUUGUUCGUUGACCCGGAGAGGGAGGCCGUUGGGUCGGCUGAGAGAGGAGAGGAGCCUGGUGAGGGGGCGGCCGGCUUGAUCUCGGCGAGCUGGGGCUGUUGAAGCUGUGGUGAAGAUCUGUUUGAGGAGAGGGUCUUGGCUGGGCGUCUGCUGUGAGCGGCUGGAGGAGCAGAGGAGGAAGUGGCCUUGUGGGGGGAGCUGUGAGGGUGGUCUCUUGUGGGUGCUCCGGUUUGUUGCAAUGGGAGGGGGGAUGCGUUGUUGGCUGGAAAAGGAGAAGAAGAUGGGGAAAACGGUGUGGAGAGAGCUGCUGUUUGGGGGGGCUGUGGCCGAAAGAGGUUGAUGUGGGUGUGGUCGGCAAAGGGAGAAGGGGAGCUCUGGUUUCCUUACCAAGGGAAGGGAGGCGGCUUCAAGAAGAUGAGAGGACAGGGAGGGGGCUGCCCCCGGUUUGGUUUUGAAAGAGAGGGAGCUAUCCCUUGUUCCCGGCUGCCGAGGUGAAGAAGAAAAUCAAAGGGGAGGGGCGGCCAGCCUCUGUAAACAGGGAAAGGGAGGCUUGCGGCCGCCCCUGCUCCCUCUGGUUUUUUCUCAAUGGGAAUGGGGGGCGCCGCUCCUUGCCAAAAAAAACAGGUUUAGGGUUAGGGUUUUCUUUUUUGUAUUUUUCUGAUGUUUCCAAAAUUGACCCCCC